GAUGAACGCUAGCGAUAGGCUUAACACAUGCAAGUCGAGGGGCAGCAUGAUCUUAGCUUGCUAAGGUCGAUGGCGACCGGCGCACGGGUGCGUAACGCGUAUGCAACUUGCCUUACAGAGGGGGAUAACCCGUUGAAAGACGGACUAAAACCGCAUACACUUGUAUUAUUGCAUGAUAUUACAAGGAAAUAUUUAUAGCUGUAAGAUAGGCAUGCGUCCCAUUAGCUGGUUGGUGAGGUAACGGCUCACCAAGGCGACGAUGGGUAGGGGAACUGAGAGGUUUAUCCCCCACACUGGUACUGAGACACGGACCAGACUCCUACGGGAGGCAGCAGUGAGGAAUAUUGGUCAAUGGGCGAGAGCCUGAACCAGCCAAGUCGCGUGAAGGAAGACAGUCCUAAGGAUUGUAGACUUCUUUUAUACGGGAAUAAACGGGCGAUACG
rnacentral:rRNA from 1 species